AGUUAAAUGACGCCGUUUCCCCUCUCCUCCCCCUUCAUGUUUUCUUGAAACCCUAAAUAAAAGCCGCCGCCGCCAUAUGCGCAGACCAACGCCGCCAACAGAGACGACGAGAAAUAUGGCUAGAGGAGAGGUUGCGGAGAUCAGUGCGAAACCCAGACCAACGUUGCCACGAUUUGAGCAAGCUUCUGCCAGUGAUGCGAAAAGUGGGUGAUGGGUUUGAUAGCAUAGUCCAGGAAUUCGUGGAUGAGGCGGUCGAGUGGUGGUUUUGUGAAUUGGAGGCGUCGCGACCCUUGGAGAGAAGGGGAUUGGUGGAGGAAGGGGGUUUUGACGGUGGAGGAAUCGGUGGUGGUGGGGCGGCGGCAGCGCCUCCAUUUUCUCUCUCCAUCGAUUUUUGCUAUAGGACUGCCUGUUGCGAUGAAGAUCAUGAUAUGAACGAGCUAGAUAAAUAUUACUCUGUAGAAAGAAAGAAAAAAUCUAUAGCUGGAAAUAGUAUAACACCAAAACGGGAAGUUAAAGGACACUUUUACAGAGGAUGGUGAAGGGUCGGCAACAAUAAAUCCAUUCGAGACAAGCUAGACAAUGAUAUUGGUUCGGUGAUGUCGUUAAAAUAUUUCAGUUACAAAAAAUAGCAAUUAAAGACGCGAAGAAAGCAUCAAAACUGAUUGGAUCAUGCAUGAAUUUAAGCUCAAAGAGGAUAAGGUAUGUUUAAUAUAUAUUUUCAAUAUUUAUAUAUGAUACAUAUUUCAAUCUUGCAGUAUGUUUCUUCUUCUCUGUAUAUGUCCAAACAUUAAUUUUUUAUUUAUUCAUUAUUAAUUAAUUAAUUAAUUGUUGUGUGUGAGUGCAAUUCCAAGAAUGGGUUUCGUGUAGAAUCCGGGAUGGGAGUAAAAGGAUAAACAAGAAAUUAACUGUAGGAGGCAGUGAGAAUUUGCAGCUGCAAAUUAGUCCCAUGAAUACAGAUGAUGAUGAUCAGUACCUUAGUAUUUGUGGAAGUACUCAUGAUCAGGUACUAGCAGUUGGAUAUAGGUUUGAACCAAUGGAUGAAGAACUCUUUUCUGAUUACUUGAGGAGGAAGCUUUAUGGUGAACAACAACUGUCAUCCAAUGCAGUCAUUGAUAUGGACAUCUAUGCAUGUGAACCGUGGUUUUUUUCAUAUGAUAUUCAUGGGUCCAUGAGCAAUAUGGAUAAUGAUGAGCAUUAGCAUGAUAGAUAUUAUUUUGUAAGUCGACAGAAGAAAUGUGUAACUAGUGAUAGAGGGAAAAGGCCCGAUGGAGAUGUAAAAGGGAAGUUUGAUGUUGGAGGAUAUUGGAAGGCCAGCACCGGAGACAAAUACAUUCGAAACAACCGAAAUUUGAAAGUCAUUGGCUACAUCAAAACCUUAACAUUUUACAAGUACAAGACCAAAAAUCGAAAUCGUCGUGAAUGCAUGAAAACUGAUUGGAUUUUGCAUUAGUAUAGUCUUUCAAGAGAUACGUUCCAAAAAUGGGUGGUUUGCCGAAUAAGAUAUAAUAGCAAGAAAAACAAGGAAGAAGGAAAACGAAACAAAAAUGAAGGUAGUGACGAAAGUUACACCAAUAUUACUUGUGAAGAAGAAAGAGUAGUGCCUAACAUGGAAUUGGUAACUCCAAACACCAAGAAGGAUGAGCAGCAGCAGCAGCAGGAAUGUUUUGCAAAUAUGUCCCACAUGACUAGUAGUACUCAGCUGAAAUCCAACAAUAACUGUGAAGGAAAAUCUGACAUGGAAUUAGAAAAUGCAAAUGAAGAAUAUUUAAAUUGGCUGGAGCAUAUGUUUUUUGAUGAUCAUGAAAAACAGCAGAAACAAUUUUCAAAUAUGUCCCACUCCCACUUCCACCAAGAGCUGCUGCAAGAAAAAGGAGUACAAGAGCAGCUAAAACCCAUGAAUUAGAAACUGCAGAUGAAGAAUAUUUAACUUGGCUGAAGCUUAUAUGUUUCAAUGAUGAUGAAGAGCAGCAGAAACAAUUUUCAAAUAUGUCCCACUCCGACCAAGAGCUGCUGCAAGAAAAAGGAGUACAAGAGUAACUGAAACCCAUGGAAUUGGAAAUUGCAUACACCAAGGAUGGAGAGUAUUUAACUGAGGAGCAGGAGGAGCAUUCGCUGCAAGAAAAAUUGGACAUGGAAUUGGAAACUGCAGACAUUGUGUAUAAAGAUUUGUCUUGGCUGCAAGAUGUAGAUUUCCCUUUUCUGCAGAAUAAAGAUUUUCUUUUAGGGCAGGAUGAAGUAGAAUUAUAUUUGGUCAAUUAUGAUGAAUAACCCCAAUUGUGUGUUUGAAAUAAGCUGUAAAUAAGGGAGUCUCUAAUCUUCAUUGACAAUUUGACAUGGAUGACCAAAAUUGUAUCUCUGGAUUGUUAUUCAGCAUUCUUGAUUUGUAAACAUAAAUACAAUACUUUUGUUCAUUCUCA